rnacentral:lncRNA from 1 species
GGGUCCUCGGUUCCUCGGGUCCGAACCUACACAGGUGGACUCAAAUGAGGGACCAAACAUACAUGAACAUAACUCUAUACUACUCCCCAAAAACCCCCUAAAACAUCAUGAAACAAUCAUAGAAAAACAUGCAAAAGAAGGCUGGACAGGGCACUUUCAGCGGCAGGUUCGGCGGCCGAAAGUCCCUCCAGAGCCGAAAGUCAGGCAGGUUCGGCGGCACCUUCGGCGGCCGAAACUCCCAGACAGAGACGAAACUCAUGCAUGUUCGGCGGCACUUUCGGCGGUCGAAACUCCCAGACAGAGGCGAAAGUCCUCUUUCGGGGGCAAGCUUCGGCAGCCAAAUGCUGCCUCCACAAGAGGGUUCGGCGGCCGAAGGUCCUUUCGGCUGCCGAACCUGGUUUCUCCCAAAGGGCAGAAACUUGGUUCAAACAUGCACAAAUGCCUCUAACUCAUACCAUCAUGCAUUUAGCUCAACCAAAACAUGCAUACAAGCUCCUAGGGGUCUCAAACUACCUUAAACCCCAACUACAACACAAAUCCAAGUCACAUUGUUCAAAAUUCACAAAAAUCAUCAAAACUCACUAAAAACCUACACAUGCAUUUCUACCCCAUAAACUUGCAUAAAACUUGUUUAAAACAUAAUGUAAGCUAGAGAUCGACUCUUACCUCUUGAAGAUCGAGAGUAGAGGCGAUCUAACUUGGAGUUGGGAGAGAUUUGAGUUCUUGAACCUCAAAGCUCCAAAACUUGCUCAAAUGCUCAAAAUCUUCAAAACAAAGGUAAAACUAAUGAAAAUCGUGAAAGAUUUGAAGGAAAGGACUCAAGAUCGGUGAGGGAUAGCGGAGAGCUCACCUUGGCCGACGACGGGGAAAAAGUUCG